GGGCGAGUGGUGAAAUGGUAGACACGCUGGUUUUAGGUACCAGUGCUGAAAGGCGUAGGGGUUCAAAUCCCCUCUUGCCCA
rnacentral:tRNA from 1 species